AAGUCAGCAGGUGCAGGUAGCUCCACUAUGCGUCGGAGGUCAGGCUGGGAACCUUGGGUAGCUGACCCCAGGCCCUCAGAGCCCAGUUCAGGCCGAGACUCUCCAAAUGCUGUGGGGAAAGCUGCUACUUGAGUCAGAUCUCAGAACCUGGUAGCACUUCAGUGUGCCGCAUCCGACAGCGACUCACAACCUGGAUACCAAAGCUCAGUACAGGAUGGGUGAGCAGGAACUCGGAGAUGGAGCUGAAGCAGGCACGGCCCUCCUCCUGGUUCUGCAGCAGCUCCAUCACGUAGAGGACCUGCACAGAGAGUAAACUCACAGCUGAUCUCUGUGAGGGCUGUGGAUGUGCCCAACACCCCUGCUGCCCUGAUGAUGCCAGCUCUGCCCAAGAACUUCAUUCAAGACCCAUGAGCUGCUCUAAGAACAUUCCACUGAGGGAACCAUGUCAGUGUGGAGGAGGGUCCUUGGUUCAUCUUUUUUCUAUAAACUCUGAUAGUUCACUCAGUCUCUGCCAAGACCAAGGAUAUGCAUGGGGCUC